GCCAGGCAUGGUGGCGCAUACCUGUAACCCCAGUGGCUCGGGAGGCUGAGGCAGAAGGGUCACAAGUUCAAGGCCAUCCUCAGCAAUUUAGCAAGGCCCUAAGUAACUUAGUGAGACCCUGUCUCAA
rnacentral:sRNA from 1 species